CCGAGGGAAAUCUUAACACUGCCUGUGGUGCAUAAACUUCAAAUUUCAAUAAGAUCAGGAGGUUUGGAUGCCAAAAAACUAGAUCUCAAUUUCGAGAUAAACCAUGAACAUUGUCUCAUGUUUCAAAAUCCAAACAAAUUAAACAAACAAAACAGAAAAAGCAGCUAGCUAGUAUUUGCUCCUGAGAACAAAACCUAAAAGCUCAACUCUCAUGUAAGGGCAAGAUCCAAAUUCAACUAUUCCACCUUGCAUCCUCCACCAAGCGCACCACUGCAAAAAACAUACGGAUCCCAGGAGAUUAAAAUGGUAUCUACAGACAAGACUUGCAGCAAAAGAAUAGAUAAGACAAUUUCAUCCAACUGCUGGAGGAAUAUGAUGCCAAAUCAAAUAGCAAUAAACAGCAGCAUUUCUGAUCCGUGUUUUCUCAAUGCCCAGAAGUUUAAAUUACAGAAAUCCUCACUUGACACCAAAUUUGGGAGAGCAUACAUUCAUCUAAUUUCCUUUCAAUGGGUUCCAAGUUCCAACCAACAAUUAGAUUC
rnacentral:misc_RNA from 1 species